UACGUAGGGAGCAAGCGUUGUCCGGAAUCAUUGGGCGUAAAGCGCGCGUAGGUGGCUUCGUAAGUCCGUUGUGAAAGUCAAAGGCUCAACCUUUGAAAGCUGAUGGAUACUGCGGAGCUAGAGUACGGAAGAGGCGAGUGGAAUUCCUGGUGUAGCGGUGGAAUGCGCAGAUAUCAGGAGGAACACCAAUAGCGAAGGCAGCUCGCUGGGACGUUACUGACACUGAGGCGCGAAAGCGUGGGGAGCGAACAGG
rnacentral:rRNA from 1 species